UUAAUUAAAUGGUAGAAUAUUAUUUAACACGAAGUUGAUUGAGCUAGUUGUUAUCACUAAUAGGUAUAAGAUGUUGCAUAAUUUGAAGAAUGACAACUAGGAGUGAGAGGCUUUCCAUAUUCAACGAUAACUUGAUGGUUUAGAAAUGUAAUAAUACUUAGACACUCAUAAAAUGAUAAGGUUUUGUGAGUUAAACAAAUGGUUACCUUACACAAGUACACUAUUUAAACGUAUGUACGAUAUAAUUCUAUAAUAAUUUUAACAAGGUUGUUUAUAUUAUAAACCUAUCAGAUAAUUACUACUAGAUAAUUAAUGUUGAUAUUAGUAGCGAAUAGAUAUUAAUAUUGAACUCGGCGAUAAGUCUUUCAACUGUUUACCAAAAACAUAGCUAUAUGAUUUAAUAUAUAGUAAUUUCUGCUCAAUGAAUAUUAAAUAGCCGCAGUACCCUGACUGUGCUAAGGUAGCGCAAUCAAUUGACUUUUAAAUGGAGUCCUGUAUAAAAGAAAUCAUGGGGGACUACUUUUCCAUUAAUAAUUAACGAAUUUACUUAAAGAGUGCAAAUUCUCUUAGAAUAAACAAAAGACGAGAAGACCCUAGAAAUUUGUAGUAAAUAACUUUUUGUUGGGGCAACACAGUAGCAUUGUAAACCUACUUUGAUGACAUGGCGGAAAUACCUAGGAAGAUGAAAUUACUCUAGGGAUAACAGCAUAAUAUAUUAAAGUUUGUGACCUCGAUGUUGGACUAGGGAAUUUUCGUUUAGAAG
rnacentral:rRNA from 1 species